rnacentral:rRNA from 1 species
GACGAACGCUGGCGGCGUGCUUAACACAUGCAAGUCGAACGGUGAAGCGCCUUCCUUUUUGGUGGGAGUGGAUGAGUGGCGAACGGGUGAGUAACACGUGAGUCACCUUCCCCCUUCUUCUUGAUAACCGCAUGCAAGUGUGGCUAAUACGGGAUAUUCUGAGUCUGUUGCUUGAUUGGUCUGGGACGGAUUUUGUGUCGGUUGGGGAUGGGCCCGCGGCCUAUCAGCUUGUUGGUGAGGUGAUGGCCUACCAAGGCGGUGAGGGGUAGCCGGCCUGAGAGGGUCGGCGGCCCCACAGGGGAUGCGAGGCCGAGCAGACUACUAGGGGCAGCAGCAGGGGGGAAUAUUGCACAAGCGGCGGAAGGAUGGAGCAGCGACGCGGCGGGGAGGAUGGUGGUCGUAGCGUUGUGAACUUCUUUCGGGGGAGAAGCAGGCCUGCCUCGUUUGUGGGUGGGUUGACGGUAGCUAGACAGGAAGCGCCGGCUAACUACGUG